GUCACAAAGAGGCACACCCACACCACAAGGAUCAGGACUGCCAUUUAAAAGAUAAAUCAAAACUUGAGUUUGCACCACCACUGACAAGAGCUGGUACCAGCUACACAACUUCAUUGUGAUGAGAUGCACUAUAUGCCACCAACAGUCAAUUGAAUAGAAUAUCCAGGCGGACAGCCCCCUUAACUCAGGGUGUUGUAAGGUCUAAUUUAUAAUGCUACUCCUAAGCCGCUCAAUGAUUUUCUCCCAAGAGGGGCAAUCCAUGAAUUUCGUGGUGUUUCUUUCCUUCCAAAGCCCCCAACAUCAACCCAGAAUAAACUUUAUAGAAUAGACCCCCAACUCCUUUUUUUCCCAAGGGGUUUCUUUUCAGAUCCAUUCCAUAUUGAAUAAUUUCAGAAAGCGACUUGUAUCAUCCUAGCCACUAGGCAAUGAAUGCAUAGAUGAUGAACUGAUUGUGCAUCCCUUUCGCACAU